rnacentral:rRNA from 1 species
GACGAACGCUGGCGGCGUGCUUAACACAUGCAAGUCGAACGGUGAAGCGCCUUCCUUUUUGGUGGGUGUGGAUGAGUGGCGAACGGGUGAGUAACACGUGAGUAACCUGCCCCCUUCUUCUGGAUAACCGCAUGAAAGUGUGGCUAAUACGGGAUAUUCUGGGUCUGUCGCAUGAUGGGUCUGGGAAAGAUAUUGUUUCGGUGGGGGAUGGGCUCGCGGCCCAUCAGCUUGUUGGUGGGGUGAUGGCCUACCAAGGCGGUGACGGGUAGCCGGCCUGAGAGGGUGGACGGUCACACUGGGACUGAGACACGGCCCAGACUCCUACGGGAGGCAGCAGUGGGGAAUAUUGCACAAUGGGCGCAAGCCUGAUGCAGCGACGCCGCGUGAGGGAUGGAGGCCUUCGGGUUGUGAACCUCUUUCGCCAGUGAAGCAGGCCUGCCUCGUUUGUGGGUGGGUUGACGGUAGCUGGAGAAGAAGCGCCGGCUAACUACGUG